GUAGUUGGAUUCACAUCAAUCCACAUGUAUUGGGGUGGGUUAGAGUAGAAUUUGAACUAAAUUCCACCAUAAUCCACUCCAAUAUAUGUGGAUUGAGGUGAAUUCGACA
rfam:Sorghum bicolor cultivar BTx623 chromosome 3, whole genome shotgun sequence.